rnacentral:rRNA from 1 species
CAGCAGCCACGGUAAUACGGAGGGUGCAAGCGUUAAUCGGAAUUACUGGGCGUAAAGCGCACGCAGGCGGUCUGUCAAGUCGGAUGUGAAAUCCCCGGGCUCAACCUGGGAACUGCAUUCGAAACUGGCAGGCUAGAGUCUUGUAGAGGGGGGUAGAAUUCCAGGUGUAGCGGUGAAAUGCGUAGAGAUCUGGAGGAAUACCGGUGGCGAAGGCGGCCCCCUGGACAAAGACUGACGCUCAGGUGCGAAAGCGUUGGGAGCAAACAGGAUUAGAUACCCGUGUAGUCCCUGUCUCUUAUAC